GAAUUCGCCCUUAGAGUUUGAUCCUGGCUCAGAACGAACGCUGGCGGCAGGCCUAACACAUGCAAGUCGAGCGCACCCUUCGGGGCGAGCGGCGGACGGGUUAGUAACGCGUGGGAACGUACCCUUUUCUACGGAAUAGCCUUUGGAAACGAAGAGUAAUACCGUAUACGCCCUUCGGGGGAAAGAUUUAUCGGAGAAGGAUCGGCCCGCGUUAGAUUAGAUAGUUGGUGGGGUAACGGCCUACCAAGUCUACGAUCUAUAGCUGGUUUUAGAGGAUGAUCAGCAACACUGGGACUGAGACACGGCCCAGACUCCUACGGGAGGCAGCAGUGGGGAAUCUUAGACAAUGGGCGNAGCCUGAUCUAGCCNUGCCGCGUGAGUGAUGAAGGCCUUAGGGUCGUAAAGCUCUUUCGCCAGAGAUGAUAAUGACNGUAUCUGGUAAAGAAACCCCGGCUAACUCCGUGCCAGCAGCCGCGGUAAUAAGGGCG
rnacentral:rRNA from 1 species